UACGGAGGAUCCAAGCGUUAUCCGGAUUUAUUGGGUUUAAAGGGUGCGUAGGCGGCCUAUUAAGUCAGGGGUGAAAGACGGUAGCUUAACUAUCGCAGUGCCUUUGAUACUGAUGGGCUCGAAUACACUAGAGGUAGGCGGAAUGUGACAAGUAGCGGUGAAAUGCAUAGAUAUGUCACAGAACACCAAUUGCGAAGGCAGCUUACUAUGGUGCAAUUGACGCUGAGGCACGAAAGCGUGGGGAUCAAACAGG
rnacentral:rRNA from 1 species